rnacentral:rRNA from 1 species
UGCCCUGAAUGUAUAGGGGUGUGGGUGGUAACGCGGGGAAGUGAAACAUCUUAGUACCCGUAGGAAGAGAAAACAAGUGUGAUUCCGUGAGUAGUGGCGAGCGAAAGCGGAGGAGGCUAAACCGUGUGUGUGUUCAAGCCGGCAGGUGUUGCAUGUGCGGGGUUGUGGGGGCCUUGUGGUUCUGCUGCCGCAGGAUUGGCCAGUGAGAAAUGUUGCGUGAAGGUGAAGCGUCUGGGAAGGCGUACCGGAGUGGGUGAGAGUCCUGUAACUGUAAGCGUGGCACUGGUGUGGGGUUGCCCCGAGUAGCGUGGGACUCGUGGAAUUUCGCGUGAAUCUGGCGGGACCACCCGUCAAGCCUAAAUACUCCUUGGUGACCGAUAGUGGAUGAGUACCGUGAGGGAAGGGUGAAAAGUACCCCGGGAGGGGAGUGAAAGAGUUCCUGAAACCGGUCGCAUGCAAGCCGUCAGAGCCUGUGUGGUGAUGGCGUGCCUUUUGAAGAAUGAGCCUGCGAGUUAGUGAUGCGUGGCGAGGUUAACCCGUGGUGGGGGAGUCGUAGCGAAAGCGAGUCCGAUAAGGGCGUGAGUCGCGUGUUCUAGACCCGAAGCGGUGUGAUCUAUCCAUGGCCAGGAUGAAGCGUCGGUAAGACGUCGUGGAGGUCUGAACCCACUUCAGUUGAAAAUGGAGGGGAUGAGUUGUGGAUAGGGGUGAAAGGCCAAUCAAACACCGUGAUAGCUGGUUCUCCCUGAAAUGCAUUUAGGUGCAGCGUUGCGUGGUUCUUGUUGGAGGUAGAGCACUGGAUGGUCUAGGGGGCUUAUCGGCUUACCGAAAUCAGCCAAACUCCGAAUGCUGGCAAGUGUAGCGUGGCAGUGAGACGGCGGGGGAUAAGCUUCGUCGUCGAGAGGGAAACAGCCCAGAUCAUCAGCUAAGGCCCCUAAGUGGUGACUCAGUGGGAAAGGAUGUGGAGUUGCGUAGACAACCAGGAGGUCGGCUUGGAAGCAGCCAUCCUUGAAAGAGUGCGUAAUAGCUCACUGGUCAAGUGAUUCCGCGCCGAUAAUGUAGCGGGGCUUAAGUUAUCCGCCGAAGCUGUGGCAACCUGUGUGGUUGGGUAGGGGAGCGUCGUGUCAGUGGUGAAGCUGCCGGGUGACUGUGUGGUGGAGUUGAUGCGAGUGAGAAUGCAGGCAUGAGUAGCGUGUGACGGGUGGGAAUCCCGUCCGCCGAUUAUCCAAGGGUUCCAGGGUCAAGUUUGUCUGCCCUGGGUGAGUCGGGUCCUAAGGCGAGGCCGACAGGCGUAGUCGAUGGAUAACGGGUUGAUAUUCCCGUACCCGUAUAAGCGCGCCCAUGGUGAAUCAGUGAUACUAACUGUCCAGAAGCUGCUGUUUUCUCUUUUUAAGGAGAUGGUUGUGGAUGCACAGGACCUGAUCUGGUAGUAGCCAAGCGAUGGGGUGACGCAGGAAGGUAGCUGCGCCAGGUAGUGGAUUGCCUGGUGUAAGCGUGUAGGGUGACAGGUUGGUAAAUCCGCUUGUUGUGUACCUGAGACGUGAUGCGUAGCCAUUGUGGUGAAGUUAGUGAUCCUAUGCUGCCGAGAAAAGCCUCUAGUGAGUUCUUAUGCGGCCCGUACCCUAAACCGACACAGGUGGUCAGGUAGAGAAUACUAAGGAGUUCGAGAGAACUGUGGUUAAGGAAUUCGGCAAAAUGCCCCCGUAACUUUGGAAGAAGGGGGACCGAUGUUGGUGAGCACUUUUUCGGUGUGAGCUGGUGUUGGUCGCAGAGACGAGAGAAGCGACUGUUUACCAAAAACACAGGUCCGUGCGAAGACGUAAGUCGAUGUAUACGGACUGACGCCUGCCCGGUGCUGGAAGGUUAAGAGGACUGGUUAGUGGCCCUUGUGGCUGCGAAGCUGAGAAUUUAAGCCCCAGUAAACGGCGGUGGUAACUAUAACCAUCCUAAGGUAGCGAAAUUCCUUGUCGGGUAAGUUCCGACCUGCACGAAUGGAGUAACGAUUUCCCUACUGUCUCCACCAUGAACUCGGUGAAAUUGCAUUACGAGUAAAGAUGCUCGUUACGCGCAGCAGGACGAAAAGACCCCGGGACCUUUACUAUAGUUUGGUAUUGGUGAUUGGGACGGUUUGUGUAGGAUAGGUGGGAGACGUUGAUGCGGCCACGCUAGUGGUGGUGGAGUCGUUGGUGAAAUACCACUCUGAUUGUUCUGGUUAUCUCACUGUGGACCGUGAUCCGGUUCAAGGACAGUGCCUGAUGGGUAGUUUGACUGGGGCGGUCGCCUCCUAAAGGGUAACGGAGGCGCCCAAAGGUUCCCUCAUCCUGGUUGGUAAUCAGGUGGUGAGUGUAAGUGCACAAGGGGGCUUGACUGUGAGACUGACAGGUCGAGCAGGGACGAAAGUCGGGACUAGUGAUCUGACGGUGGCUUGUGGAUGCGCCGUCACUCAACGGAUAAAAGGUACCCCGGGGAUAACAGGCUGAUCUUGCCCGAGCGCUCAUAGCGACGGCAUGGUUUGGCACCUCGAUGUCGGCUCGUCGCAUCCUGGGGCUGGAGUCGGUCCCAAGGGUUGGGCUGUUCGCCCAUUAAAGCGGCACGCGAGCUGGGUUCAGAACGUCGUGAGACAGUUCGGUCCCUAUCCGCUGCGCGCGGAGGAAUCUUGAGAAGGGCUGUCUUUAGUACGAGAGGACCGAGACGGACUGACCUCUGGUGUGCCAGUAGUUCUGCCAAGAGCAUGGCUGGUUGGCUACGUCGGGUUGUGAUAACCGCUGAAAGCAUCUAAGCGGGAAGCACGCUUCAAGAUAAGGGUUCCCACAGGUGAUCCUGGUAAGGUCCCCGAGAGAUGAUCGGGUUGAUAGGCCAGACGUGGACGCAUCGUAAGGUGUGGAGCUGACUGGUACUAAUAGACCGAGGACUUUCA